CCUACGGGAGGCAGCAGUGAGGAAUAUUGGUCAAUGGACGCAAGUCUGAACCAGCCAUGCCGCGUGAGUGAAGAAGGUCUUCGGAUUGUAAAGCUCUUUCGGACGUGACGAUGAUGACGGUAGCGUCUAAAGAAGCGCCGGCAAACUUCGUGCCAGCAGCCGCGGUAAUACGAAGGGUGCGAGCGUUGUUCGGAUUUACUGGGUGUAAAGGGCGUGUAGGCGGGACUGCAAGUCAGAUGUGAAAACCACGGGCUCAACCUGUGGCCUGCAUUUGAAACUGUAGUUCUUGAGUACUGGAGAGGCAGACGGAAUUCCUAGUGUAGCGGUGAAAUGCGUAGAUAUUAGGAGGAACACCAGUGGCGAAGGCGGUCUGCUGGACAGCAACUGACGCUGAGGCGCGAAAGCGUGGGGAGCAAACAGGAUUAGAUACCCUUGUAGUC
rnacentral:rRNA from 1 species